rnacentral:rRNA from 1 species
UACCGAAGUUCCUGAUUCCACACUGCCAAGAAAAGCCUCUAGCGAGAUGAAAGGUGCCCGUACCGCAAACCGACACAGGUAGUCAAGGAGAGAAUCCUGAGGUGCUCGAGUGAUCCGUGGCUAAGGAACUAGGCAAAAUGGUCCUGUAACUUCGGGAGAAGGGACGCCUCCUCAUGCUUGCAUGAGAGGCCGCAGUGAAUAGGCCCAGGCGACUGUUUAGCAAAAACACAUGGCUUUGCGAAAUCGAAAGAUAAAGUAUAAGGCCUGACACCUGCCCGGUGCUGGAAGGUUAAGGGGAACUGUGAGUGUAUGCGUAGCGGUGAACUUAAGCCCCAGUAAACGGCGGUGGUAACUAUAACCAUCCUAAGGUAGCGAAAUUCCUUGU